UACGUAGGGGGCAAGCGUUGUCCGGAUUUAUUGGGCGUAAAGAGCGUGUAGGCGGCUUUACAGGUCCGUUGUGAAAACUCGAGGCUCAACCUCGAGACGCCGGUGGAAACCGUAAGGCUAGAGUCCGGAAGGGGAGAGUGGAAUUCCUGGUGUAGCGGUGAAAUGCGCAGAUAUCAGGAAGAACACCCGUGGCUAAGGCGGUUCUCUAGUACGGUACUGACGCUGAGACGCGAAAGCGUGGGGAGCGAACAGG
rnacentral:rRNA from 1 species